UUUGGUAAUGUACAGGGACUUCUUUGAUUGUCUCGACUAAAGGAAAUGACUCAGAAAUGCAAUGGAGGAAGCCUGAGAAUGACUCAAACUUCCCUAAUCAUAAAAGGCACUUCAGACAUGGACCUUAAUGUCAAACCAGAACUCAUGAUCACUGAGUGACUUUCCUUUGUAUUUCUGAGUAGGUGGUAUCUGCAUAGGGUGACUUUAGCAACAGUAAGUUGCCUCUCCCAAACAACUUCCCCCUUAAGUCUGCUAAUGUUUGAAUUUCUACUAUGAGAGUUUGUCUCCAGUUAAAAAUGUAGGUCUAUGGGAGGGCUCUGGCAUCCGGGAUGGAGACGCAUUGUUUUCUGUGGCUGGAGUUGGAGCCACCUUGGGUCGCCGGCCAGGGCAGCGGAGAUGGUAGGUAGAGGCCAGGGUGGAAUGGGACAGGAGAUGCCGAGUAGGGGCUGAGGCGGCUCGGGACGUGGAAGCGCAUGAGUCCUCAAGCUCUGAGCUCCAGACCCGGCCGCGCAGCCGCCGCCGGGGCCGAAGAGCAAGAACCCUUUCACUCGCGCGCAGGACUGGCGGCGGCGGCGGCGGAACAAGAUGGUCCUCACGUAUGUGGCCGCAGCCCGCAGGCUAGGGGCGUCCUAUGCCGCCGUGCCCCUAUAUCGCCUUUACUGCCAGACUACCGGACUUGGGAGAUCAGCAGUUGCAGGUCAUGCAUCAGAUCAGAUUGAAAACAUGGUGCCUGUUAAGGAUCGAAUAAUUAAAGUUACCUUUAAUGCAGGUGUGCAUGCAAGUCUUCAGUGGAACUUUAGACCUCAGCAAACAGAAAUAUAUGUGGUGCCAGGAGAGACUGCACUGGCAUUUUAUAAAGCUAAGAAUCCUACUGACAAACCAGUAAUUGGAAUUUCUACAUACAACGUUGUUCCAUUUGAAGCUGGGCAGUAUUUCAAUAAAAUACAGUGCUUCUGUUUUGAAGAACAAAGGCUUAAUCCCCAAGAGGAAGUAGAUAUGCAGUGUUUUUCUACAUUGAUCCUGAAUUUGCUGAAGAUCCAAAAAUGGUGAAUGUCGAUCUCAUCACGCUUUCUUAUACUUUUUUUGAAGCAAAAGAAGGAUACAAAUUGCCAGUUCCAGGCUAUAAUUGAUGUCAGCAACUAAGUCCUGCUUCAAAUUUGUGAUUUUUGAAAAAUCAUGUAUCCUGCUUUCUUAAAGGAGAAAUAUUCUACAAUAAUGUGAACCCUAUUUUAAAUGGUUCUACCUGUUUUUUUCCUUUGAUUUGCCCCACUUAAAAGCUGAACCUGUUCUCAA